AUCCUUUCGUAGUUCAUAAGCGUGAUGGUUGGGUGUCUACGCUGUUGUACGACAUGUGCCACCCUUAAACCUUGUUAUGACGCAGGCACAUUACCCAUCUGAUG